GAUGAUGUAAGGAAAGCUGUGACAGAAACUGGUUCCUGGUUGGAACUGCGAAAGCUGUGACAGUGAAUGUUCUAUGUAUGUGUCCACUUUCUAGUUGGGAGUGUUGCUAUACUGAAUCAUGGAACCAUACUACUCCAGCUGCAACCAUGGCUUUGCGUUUGUCGAGUAUAAUAAGAAUGCCUGUGCCAAGUAUUUGAGAGAGAAGAUGUCGAA